CAAGAAGCCAGACACACCCGUAUGGCUGGCCACCUGUGCGUGCGAGCCACGCCAAGGCACUGCACCGCAGGGGAGCCGGGGGCUGCUGCAGUGUCUCGGGAAGCUCCCUGCGGGUGAGCUCACCAUGGGGUUUCAGGCCUUCAGCUCUUGUACCUUCCAGAAACGGCUCCCGGCUCCUGGGUGUGCGGCGCCAGGAGUGGCAGAUGCCAGGAGCACGGGUCCAAGCAGGGAGGCCGGUGCCACCCGUUGGCUGGCUCGAAUCACACACUGCCCUCUCAUUAUAAAGACAGUACCGUAUCAACGCUACUGAAAGCGGUAUUAAUCAGUGAGGCUGGUAAUUCUCCUGGAACGCGAUCUGGAAUACACUCCCAGAGGAUUCAUCCUACCCCACGGCUGCUCUGGGGUGAACUGCCCGGGCCUACCGCCUUCUCACUGACCAGCCCCUGUGGGCGGGUCUCGGCCACUGGCAGCCUGUUCCUCUUACGGGGGCAGUGGUGCCCCAAACGACACCCUAACCCUCUUGUGCCUGCUCCCAGGCCCGGGACACAGCAGCCAGCAGCCUUGUAUCUCAACAAGCAACCAUGACGGAACACAUUCCAACAGCAUCCACUCUUUAUGGAAGUAACUGAUCCACCAAGUGAAAAAAAAAAAAAAAAAAAAAAA